GAAAUUUCGGAAAAUCGGAAAUUUUCGGAAAUUUUGUUCCAAGAAGUUUUUUAUUAUAGUCAGUAAAAUCAAUGCAAAAGUAGAAAACAAUGCUAAAAUAUUUUCACAAUCAAAAGGUUUCAUAAAUCGAAUCAAAAGUUAUAAAUCAAACGUGUAACAAAAAUAACAAAAAGCAGACAAAAAGAAUAAAAUAAAUUUGAAGAGACAAGACCUAGAAACGAGAACAAAAUCCAUGCCAAAUAAAACUUCAUAUUUCACCAUCUUUCUUCCGUGAACAAUACCUUCAGCAAAAGAUCUGUGUAUUUUAAGAAGAGAUCUUGGGCAAAGAUUAAAGAUUUAAUUUUGAAGAAAAAAUGGGAGAAAGAGGCAGAAAGUAAAGAAACGGAAGAAGCGGCGGAUGAAAAUG
rnacentral:lncRNA from 1 species